rnacentral:rRNA from 1 species
CAGGCGGGUUGGUAAGUCAGAUGUGAAAGCCCUGGGCUUAACCCAGGAAGUGCAUUUGAAACUGCCAUCCUUGAGUAUGGGAGAGGAGAGUGGAAUUCCCAAUGUAGAGGUGGAAUUCGUAGAUAUUGGGAGGAACACCCGUGGCGAAGGCGACUCUCUGGACCAAUACUGACGCUGAGACGCGAAAGCGUGGGGAGCAAACA